GAUGAACGCUGGCGGCGUGCCUAAUACAUGCAAGUCGAGCGAACAGACGAGGAGCUUGCUCCUCUGACGUUAGCGGCGGACGGGUGAGUAACACGUGGAUAACCUACCUAUAAGACUGGGAUAACUUCGGGAAACCGGAGCUAAUACCGGAUAAUAUAUUGAACCGCAUGGUUCAAUAGUGAAAGACGGUUUUGCUGUCACUUAUAGAUGGAUCCGCGCCGCAUUAGCUAGUUGGUAAGGUAACGGCUUACCAAGGCGACGAUGCGUAGCCGACCUGAGAGGGUGAUCGGCCACACUGGAGCUGAGACACGGUCCAGACUCCUACGGGAGGCAGCAGUAGCGAAUCUUCCGCAAUGGGCGAAAGCCUGACGGAGCAACGCCGCGUGAGUGAUGAAGGUCUUCGGAUCGUAAAACUCUGUUAUUAGGGAAGAACAAAUGUGUAAGUAACUAUGCACGUCUUGACGGUACCUGAACAGAAAGCCACGGCUAACUACGUG
rnacentral:rRNA from 1 species